UACAGAGGGUGCGAGCGUUAAUCGGAAUUACUGGGCGUAAAGCGUGCGUAGACGGCUAUCUAAGUCGGGUGUGAAAGCCCCGGGCUCAACCUGGGAAUUGCAUUCGAGACUGAAUAGCUAGGGUGCGGUAGAGGGAAGCGGAAUUUCCGGUGUAGCGGUGAAAUGCGUAGAUAUCUGGAGGAACACCGGUGGCGAAGGCGGCAUCCUGGACCGGUAUUGACGCUGAGGAGCGAAAGCCAGGGGAGCAAACGGG
rnacentral:rRNA from 1 species